rnacentral:rRNA from 1 species
CGCUGGCGGCGUGCUUAACACAUGCAAGUCGAACGGAAAGGCCCUUCGGGGUACUCGAGUGGCGAACGGGUGAGUAACACGUGGGUGAUCUGCCCUGCACUUUGGGAUAAGCCUGGGAAACUGGGUCUAAUACCGAAUAGGACCACGCGCUUCAUGGUGUGUGGUGGAAAGCUUUUGCGGUGUGGGAUGGGCCCGCGGCCUAUCAGCUUGUUGGUGGGGUAAUGGCCUACCAAGGCGACGACGGGUAGCCGGCCUGAGAGGGUGACCGGCCACACUGGGACUGAGAUACGGCCCAGACUCCUACGGGAGGCAGCAGUGGGGAAUAUUGCACAAUGGGCGCAAGCCUGAUGCAGCGACGCCGCGUGAGGGAUGACGGCCUUCGGGUUGUAAACCUCUUUCAAUAGGGACGAAGCGCAAGUGACGGUACCUAUAGAAGAAGCACCGGCCAACUACGUGCCAGCAGCCGCGGUAAUACGUAGGGUGCGAGCGUUGUCCGGAAUUACUGGGCGUAAAGAGCUCGUAGUGGUUUGUCGCGUUGUUCGUGAAAACUCACAGCUUAACUGUGGGCGUGCGGGCGAUACGGGCAGACUAGAGUACUGCGGGGGAGACUGGAAUUCCUGGUGUAGUGGUGGAAUGCGCAGAUAUCAGGAGGAACACCGGUGGCGAAGGCGGGUCUCUGGGCAGUAACUGACGCUGAGGAGCGAAAGCGUGGGGAGCGAACAGGAUUAGAUACCCUGGUAGUCCACGCCGUAAACGGUGGGUACUAGGUGUGGGUUCCUUCCUUGGGAUUCGUGCCGUAGCUAACGCAUUAAGUACCCCGCCUGGGGAGUACGGCCGCAAGGCUAAAACUCAAAGGAAUUGACGGGGGCCCGCACAAGCGGCGGAGCAUGUGGAUUAACUCGAUGCAACGCGAAGAACCAUACCUGGGUUUGACAUGCACAGGACGCCGGCAGAGAUGUCGGUUCCCUUGUGGCCUGUGUGCAGGUGGUGCAUGGCUGUCGUCAGCUCGUGUCGUGAGAUGUUGGGUUAAGUCCCGCAACGAGCGCAACCCUUGUCCUAUGUUGCCAGCGGGUUAUGCCGGGGACUCGUAGGAGACUGCCGGGGUCAACUCGGAGGAAGGUGGGGAUGACGUCAAGUCAUCAUGCCCCUUAUGUCCAGGGCUUCACACAUGCUACAAUGGCCGGUACAAAGGGCUGCGAUGCCGUGAGGUGGAGCGAAUCCUUUCAAAGCCGGUCUCAGUUCGGAUCGGGGUCUGCAACUCGACCCCGUGAAGUCGGAGUCGCUAGUAAUCGCAGAUCAGCAACGCUGCGGUGAAUACGUUCCCGGGCCU